rnacentral:piRNA from 1 species
CAACAGCGUUAGCAGCUGC